rnacentral:rRNA from 1 species
GGCCUAAUACAUGCAGUCGAGGGAGAAGUUAAUGCUUGCAUUAAACAGAAACCGGCGCACGGGUGCGUAACACGUAUGCAACCUACCUUUAACUGGGGUAUAGCUUGAAGAAAUUCAAAUUAAUCCCCCAUAAUAUAUUGGAAUCGCAUGAUUACAAUAUCAAAGCUCCGGCGGUUAAAGAUGGGCAUGCGUCCCAUUAGUUAGUUGGUGAGGUAACGGCUCACCAAGACCGCGACGGGUAGCGGGUUUGAGAGGAUGAUCCGCCACACUGGUACUGAGACACGGACCAGACUCCUACGGGAGGCAGCAGUAGGGAAUAUUGGGCAAUGGACGAAAGUCUGACCCAGCCAUGCCGCGUGCAGGAAGACAGCCCUAUGGUCGUAAACUGCUUUUAUAUAGGAAGAAACCCCUUGUUUCUACAAGGGCUGACGGUACUAUACGAAUAAGGAUCGGCUAACUCCGUGCCAGCAGCCGCGGUAAUACGGAGGAUCCAAGCGUUGUCCGGAUUUAUUGGGUUUAAAGGGUGCGUAGGCGGGACAAUAAGUCAGUGGUGAAAGCCUGCAGCUUAACUGUAGAAUUGCCAUUGAAACUGUUGUUCUUGAGUCCGGUUGAGGUUGAUGGAAUAUAUCAUGUAGCGGUGAAAUGCUUAGAUAUGAUAUAGAACACCAAUUGCGAAGGCAGUCAACUAAACUGGUACUGACGCUGAGGCACGAAAGCGUGGGGAGCGAACAGGAUUAGAUACCCUGGUAGUCCACGCUGUAAACGAUGUUCACUCGCUGUUGGCGAUACACUGUCAGCGGCCAAGCGAAAGCAUUAAGUGAACCACCUGGGGAGUACGAUCGCAAGGUUGAAACUCAAAGGAAUUGACGGGGGCCCGCACAAGCGGUGGAGCAUGUGGAUUAAUUCGAUGAUACGCGAGGAACCUUUACAGGGCUUA